CCUACGGGAGGCAGCAGUGAGGAAUAUUGGUCAAUGGACGCAAGUCUGAACCAGCCAUGCCGCGUGCAGGAUGACGGCCCUAUGAGUUGUAAACUGCUUUUGUACGAGGGUAAACUCCGAUACGUGUAUUGGGUUGAAUGUACCGUACGAAUAAGGAUCGGCUAACUCCGUGCCAGCAGCCGCGGUAAUACGGAGGAUCCGAGCGUUAUCCGGAUUUAUUGGGUUUAAAGGGUGCGUAGGCGGUUUGGUAAGUUAGUGGUGAAAGGUCGGGGCUCAACCGCGAAACUGCCUUUGAAACUGUUAGACUAGAGAAUAGUAGAGGUAGGCGGAAUGUGUGGUGUAGCGGUGAAAUGCUUAGAGAUCAUACAGAACACCGAUUGCGAAGGCAGCUUACCGAACUGUAUCUGACGUUGAGGCACGAAAGCGUGGGUAGCAAACAGGAUUAGAUACCCGAGUAGUC
rnacentral:rRNA from 1 species